AGGAUCCUUCCAGCUGAACAAAGUCAGCCACAAAGCAGACUAGCCAGCCGGCUACAAUUGGAGUCAGAGUCCCAAAGACAUGGGCUUGUUAGAGUGCUGUGCAAGAUGUCUGGUAGGGGCCCCCUUUGCUUCCCUGGUGGCCACUGGAUUGUGUUUCUUUGGGGUGGCACUGUUCUGUGGCUGUGGACAUGAAGCCCUCACUGGCACAGAAAAGCUAAUUGAGACCUAUUUCUCCAAAAACUACCAGGACUAUGAGUAUCUCAUCAAUGUGUAAGUACCUGCCCUCCCACACAGACCCAUCUUUUUUUUCCCUCUCUCCAUCCUGGAGAUAGAGAACUCUUCAGUACCUUAGUAACUAGCAGGGGACUGGGGUGGAGCCAGACCGGAUUCCCGAGUCUUCCCUCUGUGCAGAUCUCUCCUGCUCCGCAUUCGAAGCCCAUUCAGAAAGGAGAGGUCUGCCUGCCUGCCUGUCAGCCCCU
rnacentral:sRNA from 1 species